UACGUAGGGUGCGAGCGUUAAUCGGAAUUACUGGGCGUAAAGUGUGCGCAGGCGGCCGAGCAAGUCGAGUGUGAAAGCCCCGGGCUUAACCUGGGAAUGGCAUUGGAAACUGGCGGGCUUGAGUGCGGCAGAGGGGGGUGGAAUUCCGCGUGUAGCAGUGAAAUGCGUAGAGAUGCGGAGGAACACCGAUGGCGAAGGCAGCCCCCUGGGUCGACACUGACGCUCAGGCACGAAAGCGUGGGGAGCAAACAGG
rnacentral:rRNA from 1 species